rnacentral:rRNA from 1 species
GACGUAGGGCGCGAGCGUUGUCCGGAUUUAUUGGGCGUAAAGAGCUCGUAGGCGGCUUGUUACGUCGACUGUGAAAACCCGCGGCUCAACCGCGGGCCUGCAGUCGAUACGGGCAGGCUAGAGUUCGGUAGGGGAGACUGGAAUUCCUGGUGUAGCGGUGAAAUGCGCAGAUAUCAGGAGGAACACCGGUGGCGAAGGCGGCUCACUGGACAGCAACUGACGCUGAUGCGCGAAAGCUAGGGGAGCAAACAGG